rnacentral:rRNA from 1 species
AGAGUUUGAUCCUGGCUCAGAUUGAACGCUGGCGGUAUGCUUUACACAUGCAAGUCGAACGGCAGCACGGGGCAACCUGGUGGCGAGUGGCGAACGGGUGAGUAACAUAUCGGAACAUAUCCGGAAGUGGGGGAUAACGUAGCGAAAGUUACGCUAAUACCGCAUAUGCCCUGAGGGGGAAAGAGGGGGAUCGCAAGACCUCUCGCUUUCGGAGUGGCCGAUAUCGGAUUAGCUAGAUGGUGAGGUAAAGGCUCACCAUGGCGACGAUCCGUAGCGGGUCUGAGAGGACGACCCGCCACACUGGAACUGAGACACGGUCCAGACUCCUACGGGAGGCAGCAGUGGGGAAUUUUGGACAAUGGGCGCAAGCCUGAUCCAGCCAUACCGCGUGAGUGAAGAAGGCCUUCGGGUUGUAAAGCUCUUUCAGCCGGAAAGAAAUCGCACUUUUUAAUACGGAGUGUGGAUGACGGUACCGGAAGAAGAAGCACCGGCUAACUACGUGCCAGCCGCCGCGGU